GACGGAGGGGGCUAGCGUUGCUCGGAAUUACUGGGCGUAAAGCGCGCGUAGGCGGGUUCUUAAGUCGGGGGUGAAAUCCUGGAGCUCAACUCCAGAACUGCCUUCGAAACUGGGAAUCUUGAGUCCGGGAGAGGUGAGUGGAACUGCGAGUGUAGAGGUGAAAUUCGUAGAUAUUCGCAAGAACACCAGUGGCGAAGGCGGCUCACUGGCCCGGUACUGACGCUGAGGCACGAAAGCGUGGGGAGCAAACAGG
rnacentral:rRNA from 1 species